rnacentral:rRNA from 1 species
AUGAACGCUGGCGGCGUGCCUAACACAUGCAAGUCGAGCGAGAAAUUAAUCAAUGAAUCUUCGGAAGAAUUGAUUAAUGGAAAGCGGCGGACGGGUGAGUAACGCGUGGGCAACCUGCCUUUCACAGAGGGAUAGCCAAAGGAAACUUUGAUUAAAACCUCAUAAAGCUGGAAUAGUGCAUAAUAUACCAGCCAAAGAUUUAUCGGUGAAAGAUGGGCCCGCGUCUGAUUAGCUAGUUGGUGGGUAACGGCUCACCAAGGCGACGAUCAGUAGCCGACCUGAGAGGGUGAUCGGCCACAUUGGGAACUGAGACACGGGUCCAAACUCCUACGGGAGGCAGCAGUGGGGAAUAUUGCACAAUGGGCGAAAGCCUGAUGCAGCAACGCCGCGUGAACGAAGAAGGCCUUCGGGUCGUAAAGUUCUGUCCAAAGGG